GCAUUAUGCUUGUAUGGUUGAUCUCCUUGGCCGAGCAGGGCGCUUAAAAGAAGCUAAGGAUAUCAUAGACUGCAUGCCUCUAAAGCCAAAUAUAGGGAUAUGGCAGGCAUUGCUCAGUGCUUGCAGAAUUCACGCAGACGUGGAAUUGGGGAUAGAAGUAGGUGAGAUUCUCUUGAGAUUAGAUGGUGAUAAUCCUGUCAACUAUGUGAUGCUGUCAAAUAUUUAUGCUGAUGCUGGCUACUGGAAUGAGUGUGAGAGAGUAAGAGAAUUGGUUAAGACAAAGAGGUUGAAGAAAGAAGCAGGCCGCAGUUGGGUAGAGAUUGACAAGGAGGUCCACUUCUUCUACGGUGGAGAUGACACACACCCACUCAUAGAGAAAAUACAUGAAGUCUUGAAAGAAAUGGAGAAGAAAAUGAAAGAAGAGUUGGGUUAUGUGUACGGAAUGAAAUAUGCAUUGCGUGAUGUGGAAGAAGAAUCAAAGGAAGAGAGCUUGAGAUUUCACAGUGAGAAGUUGGCAAUUGGGUUGGCUUUGGUUUGUGGUGGCUGGGAAAAGAGCGGAGGGGUGAUUCGCGUCUUCAAAAACUUGAGAAUUUGCGGGGAUUGUCAUCAGUUCAUCAAGGGCUUAUCGAAAAUCCUGCAAUUGGUAUUUUUAGUGAGAGAUGCUAACAGAUUUCACAGGUUUGAGAAUGGACUGUGUUCUUGCAGAGAUUAUUGGUGAUAUCGUGGGUUCUCGAAUUUGAAUUCUGAGAUUAUUGGUGUUCGAGUGUUUCAUUUAUAUUAAAAAUAAAAUUUAUUUUGG
rnacentral:misc_RNA from 1 species